GUCGGAGCCGCUUCGUGCGGUGACGGCGUGCCUUUUGCAUAAUGAGCCUACGAGUUACUCAUCACCAGCGAGGUUAAGUACUUCAGGUACGUAAGCCGAAGCGAAAGCGAGUCUGAAUAGGGCGUCAAGUUGGUGGUGGUAGACGCGAAACCUUAGUGAUCUACCCAUGGGCAGGGUGAAGGUUUGGUAACACAAACUGGAGGCCCGAACCGGUAAACGUUGAAAAGUUUUCGGAUGACCUGUGGGUAGGGGUGAAAGGCCAAUCAAACUGGGAAAUAGCUCGUACUCUCCGAAAUGCAUUUAGGUGCAGCCUCUGUUGUUUUGUUCUAGAGGUAGAGCUACUGAUUGGAUGCGAGGGCUUCACCGCCUAUCAAAUCCGGCCAAACUCCGAAUGCUAGAACAUGAAGACAGGGAGUGAGCCAGCGGGUGCUAAGGUCCGUUGACGAAAGAGGGAGAACUCAGACCAUCAGCUAAGGUCCCCAAUUAUAUGCUAAGUUGGAAUUAAAACGGGGUGGGACUGCUUAGACAGCUAGGAUGUUGGCUUGGAAGCAGCCAUUCAUUUAAAGAGUGCGUAACAGCUCACUAGUCGAGCGGUCCUGCAUGGAUAAUACGCGGGCAUAAGCAUAUAACCGAAGCUAUGGGAUUGUAGAUGAUACAAUCGGUAGGAGAGCAUUCCAUUCAGCAUAGAAGCAGUACCGUGAGGUAUUGUGGAGCGGAUGGAAAAGCAAAUGUAGGCAUAAGUAACGAUAAUGCGGGUGAGAACCCCGCACGCCGAAAGAUCAAGGAUUCCCCGGCAAUGUCAAUCAUCCGGGGGUAAGUCGGAUCCUAAGGGUAAGCCGAGUGGCGAUCCCGAUGGUAAACAGGUUAAUAUUCCUGUACUGAUCAUAACUGCGAUGCAGCGACGCAGAGGUGACACUGCUGCGUACUGACGGAAUAGUACGUUGAAACCCGUAUUCUUUGAUACCGGUAGUGAAGCACGCCGGUAGAGAUGAAAGGUGAUAGUACCGCAAUGCUUCGGUUGCGCGGAUAACGCAGGUAAGCUGACUGCCAAGAAAACCUGCUAAGCUUCAGGUAAUGAUCAUCCGUACUGUAAACGGACACACGUGAUCAGGUAGAAAAUACUAAGGCGCUCGAGAGAUUCAUGGUUAAGGAACUAGGCAAAAUGGUCCUGUAACUUCGGGAUAAAGGACGCUCUUGUGAAAGAGCCGCAGAUAAUAGGCCCAGGCGACUGUUUACCAAAAACACAUGGCUAUGCUAAUUCGCAAGAAGAUGUAUAUGGCCUGACACCUGCCCGGUGCCGGAAGGUUAAGAGGAGAGCUCAGAGGCAACUCGAAGGUUUGAAUUGAAGCCCCGGUAAACGGCGGCCGUAACUAUAACGGUCCUAAGGUAGCGAAAUUCCUUGUCGGGUAAGUUCCGACCUGCACGAAUGGUGUAACGAUCUGGGUACUGUCUCAACCAUGAGCUCGGUGAAAUUGUAGUUCCGGUGAAGAUGCCGGAUACCCGCAACGGGACGGAAAGACCCCGUGAACCUUUACUGCAGCUUUGCAUUGAUUUUGGGUAACAGAUGUGUAGGAUAGGUCGGAGGCUUUGAUGCUGCGUCGUCAGGCGUAGAGUAGCCGUCGUUGAAAUACGACCCUUUUGUUAUCUGAGGUCUAAUCCCGUUAGGGAGACAUUGCAUGGUGGGUAGUUUGACUGGGGUGGUCGCCUCCAAAAGUGUAACGGAGGCUUCUCAAGGUACCCUCAAGGCGUUUGGUAAUCGUCUGCAGAGUGCAAUGGCAUAAGGGUGCUUGACUGUGAGACCGACACGUCGAUCAGGUUGGAAACAAGAGCAUAGUGAUCCGGUGGUUCCGCAUGGAAGGGCCAUCGCUCAAAGGAUAAAAGGUACUCCGGGGAUAACAGGCUGAUCGCUCCCAAGAGCUCAUAUCGACGGAGCGGUUUGGCACCUCGAUGUCGGCUC
rnacentral:rRNA from 1 species